CACGAACCGGACGAACGUUAUUCGGAAUCACUGGGCUUAAAGGGUGCGUAGGCGGCCUGACAAGUUGGGUGUGAAAUCCCUCGGCUUAACCGAGGAAUUGCGCUCAAAACUGUUGGGCUUGAGGGAGUUAGAGGUAAGCGGAACUUAGGGUGGAGCGGUGAAAUGCGUUGAUAUCCUAAGGAACACCAGUGGCGAAAGCGGCUUACUGGAGCUCUUCUGACGCUGAGGCACGAAAGCUAGGGGAGCGAACGGG
rnacentral:rRNA from 1 species